UUUCCGUAGGUGAACCUGCGGAAGGAUCAUUACAGAGUUCACGCCCUCACGGGUAGUUCUCCCACCCUUGAAUAUUUAUACCUUAGUUGCUUUGGCGGGCCGUGGAAACACCAUGGGCUCCGGCUUAUGCGUGCCUGCCAGAGGAAACAAAAUCCGUUUUUAGUGAUGUCUGAGUACUAUAUAAUAGUUAAAACUUUCAACAACGGAUCUCUUGGCUCUC
rnacentral:misc_RNA from 1 species